GGAUUAGAUACCCUGGUAGUCCACGCCGUAAACGAUGAGUGCUAGAUGUCGCGGGCAUUGACCCCUGCGGUGUCGUAGCUAACGCAUUAAGCACUCCGCCUGGGGAGUACGGCCGCAAGGCUAAAACUCAAAGGAAUUGACGGGGGCCCGCACAAGCGGUGGAGCAUGUGGUUUAAUUCGAUGCAACGCGCAGAACCUUACCUGGGCUAGAAACGGCAAGAAUCUGGGUGAAAACUCGGAGUGCCCUCGGGAAUUUGUCGCUAGGUGCUGCAUGGCUGUCGUCAGCUCGUGCUG
rnacentral:rRNA from 1 species